rnacentral:rRNA from 1 species
UACAGAGGUCACAAGCGUUGUUCGGAUUCAUUGGGCGUAAAGGGUGCGUAGGCGGCGCGGUAAGUCGGGUGUGAAAUCUUGGAGCUUAACUCCGAAACUGCAUUCGAUACUGCCGUGCUUGAGGACUGGAGAGGAGACUGGAAUUUACGGUGUAGCGGUGAAAUGCGUAGAUAUCGUAAGGAAGACCAGUGGCGAAGGCGGGUCUCUGGACAGUUCCUGACGCUGAGGCACGAAGGUCAGGGGAGCAAACGGG